GCCUGUGUUCCAUUCAGUUGGGGUUGUAUCGUUGUGGUUAGUGUCGUGUGUUUUUGCUCUGCUCCCUACCUUCUUAUGGAUUUUUGGUUCUAAAUGGAUAACUUGGUUUUUGUUGGACUUGUUGUAUCUGCCACUGUUGCCCCAUUCAGAGAGCUUUUCUGUCAUUGUGGAAACUGGAUUGCCAAUCAGCGUUCAGCUGCCAGCGGGGUGCUAAUACACUUCUGGACACCCAAACCUGGCAACCCGACACCACCAACCAAACAUCCACUCUGCUGUAUUCUUCUGUAAAACCCUGCCCGCUUGUCUCUGUCAGGAAAGCACUCGGAAUAGUUUGUGAUUAAAUAAAGAUUAGGCUCUGCAUUAAAGAUUCAAAUGCACACACAUUCCCAUGCACAGAAUAAGUGAACAGAGCAAACACACACUUGCUAGAUGCACCCAUGGCACAUGGUGUGUAGGCACACAGAUGUUCUGUACAGUGACAUAACUCUUUCAGCUUCAUGAGCCCCAAAUGUAACUGAUCGUUACAUCAUGAGUGUAAUGCCACUCCCAGUAUUCGGACAACCAGGAGAAGUUUGUGUUUAUCAUUCUGUGAAUUAAAGCAAUGUCCAAACAUAUUCCAUUUUAAAAAAGAUCUAUAAAGAAAUCACAUUCAAGGGGUACAGGGAUGGAAAAAGAGGUUCUAAUAAUCACUGGGGGUUCUCAUUGACAUGUAUGUAGAUCAGAAGGUAGUUUAAAUAUAUAGACUUGUUUGUGUGAAUGUAUGUAGGUGAGUACAGUUAUAAGUUUGUAUAUAAAUGUUCUUGUUUAGAUUUACUAUUUUGUGAUUAUUAUUAGGAGUACAUAGUUUUACUACUUCCUAUUCCCUUUGGCGCAUGUACAAAUAGAGGUGUUUAAGUACUGGAAAAUACGGACUCUGUUUUUUUCAUCUAUUUUUACCACUGGUUGUUCUUUUUUUACAUGUUUGAAAUAAAGACAUCAAUCAAUGUGUCA